GAAGGAAUGUAUAGCGAAAGCUAAUUGUAUUAUAUUUAUACAAUACCGAUUUAUUCGGCUAAAAUUCUGGGUAGAUUUUGAUAAUGACAUUAGCUAUCCAUAUGUCUUGACCAAAUUUUGUGCCAGCAGUCGCGGCAAUACAAAAAAGACUUGUGUUAUUCAUGUUAAGUCGGUUUAAAGGGUAACUAGACGGUAAACCAAGCCAAUAGAGGGACUAGUUUACUUGAGUUUAAUAUAAGGGAGCAUAAAAGUACUGAUAGGUGUAGAGAUGAAAUUCGUUGAUACCAUAUAUGGCACAGGUUUAGGCGAAAGCAUCUCCUUAUGUAAAAACUGACGUUCAGGGACGAAGGCUAUGUGCAGCAAACAGGAUUAGAUACCCUGGUAGUUUUAGCAGAAAAUGAUGAAUGUUAUAGGGUAGACUCUUUUUAUUCUAUAAAUGAAAGUGUAAGCAUUCCACCUCAUGAGUAAUUUGGCAACAUUGGAAUUGAAAUCAUUAGACCGUUUCUGAUACAAGCAGUGAAGUAUGUUAUUUAAUUUGAUGAUCCGCAAAAAACCUUACCACAUUUUGAAUAUUGCUUUAUGUUACAUAAAGUAUUACAAGUGCUGCAUGGUUGUCUUCAGUUAAUGUCGUGAGACUUUGGUUAACUCCACUAAAUUAACGUAAACCCUUAAUCUAUUUAUUAAUAGAUUAGAUCCCCUUUAGAUUGGAUAUGAUACAUGGGACUAAGACAAAUCAUCAUGGCCUAAAUAAUGUGGGCGAUAGACGUGCUGCAUAUGCCAUACAAAGGGAUGCAAAAUUGUAAAUAGAGCUAAU
rnacentral:rRNA from 1 species